rnacentral:pre_miRNA from 1 species
AGCUGGUGUUGUGAAUCAGGCCGACGGGCAGCGCAUCCUCUUACCCGGCUAUUUCACGACACCAGGGUU